GACGAACGCUGGCGGCGUGCUUAACACAUGCAAGUCGAACGGUAAGGCCCUUCGGGGUACACGAGUGGCGAACGGGUGAGUAACACGUGGGUGAUCUGCCCUGCACUUCGGGAUAAGCCUGGGAAACUGGGUCUAAUACCGGAUAGGACCACUGCCUGCAUGGGUGGUGGUGGAAAGCUUUUGCGGUGUGGGAUGGGCCCGCGGCCUAUCAGCGUGGUGGGGGGGUGGUGGCCUACCAAGGCGACGACGGGUAGCCGGCCUGAGAGGGUGACCGGCCACACUGGGACUGGGAUACGGCCCAGACUCCUACGGGAGGCAGCAGGGGGGAAUAUUGCACAAUGGGCGCAAGCCUGAUGCAGCGACGCCGCGUGAGGGAUGACGGCCUUCGGGUUGUAAACCUCUUUCAGCACCGACGAAGCGCAAGUGACGGUAGGUGCAGAAGAAGGACCGGCCAACUACGUGCCAGCCGCCGCAGUAA
rnacentral:rRNA from 1 species